CUUGUGGCUUGGAAGUGUGGAGGUGCUGCAAAUGUUGACGUAUACAAAAUUGAUAUCAAUAGUAUUGAUAUCAGCACGUUUGGCAUCAAUAACAUUGAUUCAGUUCGAUCAUUAAUCGCAACGAAACAUUAAAAUGAGAACCACAAAACCAACAAAAAAUUAAAAAAAACAAGGACAAAGGGAAGAAGAAUAGUCAUCACACCGAGUAUUCAACGUCAUAAUCCUUGCUGCAUUAAAAUAUUAGGUCGAAGACACUCCAGUGCCUGGAAACGUUCUGUCCCGGAAAUUAUUCAAGCCGCAGCUCGAUUAUAGAAGACAAUUUUAAUAUCGUCGAAUAAUGGAGGGUCUUCGAUGAGAGAAGCCGAAGAAGGAGGAGAAGCCUAGGGUGGAUGGGAGGCGUGAAGGGGAUGGGAGGAGAUCGGUGGCCUGAAAACUCGCGUUGCGUUAAGGUCACCGCGAUAAGGGGACGAUAGAAUCGUGAUCCUAGCGAUCUGGCUACGUGGCGAGCAUGUGGAAACGGUAUUCAAUAUCGUUGCCCCUGGAAGGAAGCUGGAUGGCAAAGUGGGGAAAGGAUGGAAGGAGUAGGCAUGCUCAUUGUCACCGCGAAACUAUUCCGGGCGGACCGGGGAUCACGUGGCCUGUAAAAAGGACAAUGGAUCAGAAGUACGUGUCUCGGGAUCGACACGAUAUUGGAACGAGGUUGCACCGCUAUUAUAAUACAGAAAAUUGUAUAAAGAAGGUGUAACAGAGUGGAUGUACAAAUUUUGGGAUGGUGCUCAAUUUACGAUAGAAUUUAGACGAUGAAGAGAGAGAAUAAUUAG